rfam:Brachypodium distachyon strain Bd21 chromosome 3, whole genome shotgun sequence.
UCAGUACUUCCUCCAUUCCAUAAUUCUUGUCUCAAAUUUGUCCAAAAAUGGAUGUAUCUAUAAUCUAUUCCUAAAAAGCGUCUAGAUACAUGUAAUAUUUCGACAAGAAUUAUGGAACGGAGGGAGUACUUU